rnacentral:ncRNA from 1 species
UAAAAAUCAUUGACGGGAACUAGUACAUAAUUUUUCUUGCGCAAGAGAUUGGAAUUCAUAGGCUGAAAGAUUCCUCGUAAAGAAAUUAUGGAACCUAUCCCUGAGUCUUAAACGAAAGUUUAGGCGUAUGCCUGCGUUACAGGUGGAAAGCGGAUAUGAAUUAUAUCAAUGAAGGUGGUACCGCGGAACAAUGACUGUUUCGUCCUUUUU